UCCCUGGUGGCUCAGAGGUUAAAGCAUCUGUCUGCAAUGUGGGGGACCUGGGUUCAAUUCCUGGGUCAGGGAG
rfam:Ovis aries breed Texel chromosome 6, whole genome shotgun sequence.